rnacentral:rRNA from 1 species
UAACACAUGCAAGUCGAGGGGUAACAGGGAAGAGCUUGCUCUUUCGCUGACGACCGGCGCACGGGUGCGUAACGCGUAUACAACCUACCUUUUGGAGGGGAAUAGCCCAGGGAAACUUGGAUUAAUGCCCCAUAGUAUGGGAAUAUCUCCUGAUAUUUUCAUUAAACAUUUAUGGCCAUUAGAUGGGUAUGCGUCCUAUUAGUUAGUUGGUAAGGUAACGGCUUACCAAGGCAGCGAUAGGUAGGGGUCCUGAGAGGGAGAUCCCCCACACUGGUACUGAGACACGGACCAGACUCCUACGGGAGGCAGCAGUGAGGAAUAUUGGACAAUGGGCGAGAGCCUGAUCCAGCCAUGCCGCGUGCAGGAAGACUGCCCUAUGGGUUGUAAACUGCUUUUACAGAGGAAGAACCACUCCCACGUGUGGGAGUUUGACGGUACUCUGCGAAUAAGGAUCGGCUAACUCCGUGCCAGCAGCCGCGGUAAUACGGAGGAUCCAAGCGUUAUCCGGAAUCAUUGGGUUUAAAGGGUCCGUAGGCGGGCAGUUAAGUCAGUGGUGAAAGUCUUCCGCUCAACGGGAGAACUGCCAUUGAUACUGAUUGUCUUGAGUUAUUAUGAAGUGGUUAGAAUGAGUAGUGUAGCGGUGAAAUGCAUAGAUAUUACUCAAAAUACCGAUUGCGAAGGCAGAUCACUAAUAAUAUACUGACGCUGAUGGACGAAAGCGUAGGUAGCGAACAGGAUUAGAUACCCUGGUAGUCUACGCCGUAAACGAUGGUUACUAGCUGUUCGGCCCGAUUAAGGGCUGAGUGGUUAAGCGAAAGUGAUAAGUAACCCACCUGGGGAGUACGUUCGCAAGAAUGAAACUCAAAGGAAUUGACGGGGGCCCGCACAAGCGGUGGAGCAUGUGGUUUAAUUCGAUGAUACGCGAGGAACCUUACCAGGGCUUAAAUGUAGUCUGACAGGAGUGGAAACACUUUUUUCUUCGGACAGAUUACAAGGUGCUGCAUGGUUGUCGUCAGCUCGUGCCGUGAGGUGUCAGGUUAAGUCCUAUAACGAGCGCAACCCCUGUGGUUAGUUGCCAGCGAGUAAUGUCGGGAACUCUAGCCAGACUGCCGGUGCAAACCGUGAGGAAGGUGGGGAUGACGUCAAAUCAUCACGGCCCUUACGUCCUGGGCCACACACGUGCUACAAUGGUAGGGACAGAGAGCAGCCACUUCGCGAGAAGGAGCGAAUCUACAAACCCUAUCACAGUUCGGAUCGCAGUCUGCAACUCGACUGCGUGAAGCUGGAAUCGCUAGUAAUCGCAUAUCAGCCAUGAUGCGGUGAAUACGUUCCCGGGCCUUGUACACACCGCCCGUCAAGCCAUGGAAGCCGGGGGUACCUGAAGUCGGUCACCGCAAGGAGCCGCCUAGGGUAAAACGUGGUAACUGGGGCUAAGUCGUAACA